AAUAGAUACCCCGGUAGUCCACGCCGUAAACGAUGGAUACUAGCUGUUGGGCGCAAGUUCAGUGGCUAAGCGAAAGUGAUAAAUAUCCCACCUGGGGAGUACGUUCGCAAGAAUGAAACUCAAAGGAAUUGACGGGGGCCCGCACAAGCGGUGGAGCAUGUGGUUUAAUUCGAUGAUACGCGAGGAACCUUACCAAGGCUUAAAUGUAGAUUGACCGGUUUGGAAACAGAUCUUUCGCAAGACAAUUUACAAGGUGCUGCAUGGUUGUCGUCAGCUCGUGCCGUGAGGUGUCAGGUUAAGUCCUAUAACGAGCGCAACCCCUGUUGUUAGUUGCCAGCGAGUCAAGUCGGGAACUCUAACAAGACUGCCAGUGCAAACUGUGAGGAAGGUGGGGAUGACGUCAAAUCAUCACGGCCCUUACGCCUUGGGCUACACACGUGCUACAAUGGCCGGUACAGAGAGCAGCCACUGGGUGACCGAGGAGCGAAUCUAUAAAACCGGUCACAGUUCGGAUCGGAGUCUGCAACUCGACUCC
rnacentral:rRNA from 1 species